GUGUUGUGAAAAGGAGAGAAGGUUAGCACUCCCCUGGAUGAGGACGGAUUUAUAAAGACACACACAUAUGUCUUGAAAACAUGGUUUUAGCAAAACCAUGUGAAUUUUUUUU